rnacentral:rRNA from 1 species
AUUGAACGCUGGCGGCAGGCCUAACACAUGCAAGUCGAGCGGAUGAAGGGAGCUUGCUCCUGGAUUCAGCGGCGGACGGGUGAGUAAUGCCUAGGAAUCUGCCUGGUAGUGGGGGAUAACGUCCGGAAACGGGCGCUAAUACCGCAUACGUCCUGAGGGAGGAAGUGGGGAAUCUUCGGACCUCACGCUAUCAGAUGAGCCUAGGUCGGAUUAGCUAGUUGGUGGGGUAAAGGCCUACCAAGGCGACGAUCCGUAACUGGUCUGAGAGGAUGAUCAGUCACACUGGAACUGAGACACGGUCCAGACUCCUACGGGAGGCAGCAGUGGGGAAUAUUGGACAAUGGGCGAAAGCCUGAUCCAGCCAUGCCGCGUGUGUGAAGAAGGUCUUCGGAUUGUAAAGCACUUUAAGUUGGGAGGAAGGGCAGUAAGUUAAUACCUUGCUGUUUUGACGUUACCAACAGAAUAAGCACCGGCUAACUUCGUG